rnacentral:tRNA from 1 species
GCGGGCGUGGCGGAAUGGUAGACGCAAGGGACUUAAAAUCCCUGGGCUUUAGGCCAUGCGGGUUCGAGUCCCGCCGCCCGUACCA